rnacentral:rRNA from 1 species
AAGUACAUGAUUCCAUGCUUCCAAGAAAAGCAUCUAGAGAGAGAAGUAGUGCCCGUACCGCAAACCGACACAGGUAGAUGAGGAGAGAAUCCUAAGGCCGGCGGAAGAAUUGCAGUUAAGGAACUAGGCAAAUUGACCCCGUAAGUUAGCGAGAAGGGGUGCCUACGAGAGUAGGCCGCAGAGAAUAGGCCCAAGCAACUGUUUAGCAAAAACACAGGUCUCUGCUAAAGCGCAAGCUGAUGUAUAGGGGCUGACGCCUGCCCGGUGCUGGAAGGUUAAGGGGAACACUUAGCGCAAGCGAAGGUGUGAACUUAAGCCCCAGUAAACGGCGGCCGUAACAAUAACGGUCCUAAGGUAGCGAAAUUCCUUGUCAGGUAAGUUCUGACCCGCACGAAUGGCGUAAUGACUUGGGCACUGUCUCAACUGCAAAUCCGGCGAAGUUGUAGUGCGAGUGAAGAUGCUCGCUACCCGCGAUUGGACGGAAAGACCCCGUAGAGCUUUACUGUAGCUUAGCAUUGAAUUCCGGUAUUGUCUGUACAGGAUAGGUGGGAGACUAGGAAACUAGGGCGUCAGCCUUAGUGGAGUCAUCCUUGGGAUACCACCCUGACAGUACUGGGGUUCUAACAGGAUGCCAUGAAUCUGGUGACUGGACAUUGUUAGGUGGGCAGUUUGACUGGGGCGGUCGCCUCCUAAAAAGUAACGGAGGCGCCCAAAGGUUCCCUCAGAACGGUCGGAAAUCGUUCGUAGAGUGCAAAGGCAGAAGGGAGCCUGACUGCGAGACCUACAAGUCGAGCAGGGACGAAAGUCGGGCUUAGUGAUCCGGUGGUACCUCGUGGGAGGGCCAUCGCUCAACGGAUAAAAGCUACCUCGGGGAUAACAGGCUGAUCUCCCCCAAGAGUCCACAUCGACGGGGAGGUUUGGCACCUCGAUGUCGGCUCGUCGCAUCCUGGGGCUGUAGUAGGUCCCAAGGGUUGGGCUGUUCGCCCAUUAAAGCGGCACGCGAGCUGGGUUCAGAACGUCGUGAGACAGUUCGGUCCCUAUCCGUCGCGGGCGUAGGAAAUUUUAGAGGAGCUGUCCUUAGUACGAGAGGACCGGGAUGGACUGACCUCUGGUGCACCAGUUGUUCUGCCAAGAGCAUGGCUGGGUAGCUAAGUCGGGAAGGGAUAAACGCUGAAAGCAUCUAAGCGUGAAGCCUCCCUCAAGAUGAGAUUUCCCAUAGUCGAAAGACUAGUAAGACCCCUUGAAGAACACGAGGUUGAUAGGUCAGAGGUGUAAGUGUGGUAACAUAUUUAGCUGACUGAUACUAAUAGGUCGAGGGCUUGACC